rnacentral:rRNA from 1 species
GAUGAACGCUAGCGGGAGGCUUAAUACAUGCAAGUCGAACGGUAAGGUUCCGACCUAGUCGGAAUACACGAGUGGCGCACGGGUGAGUAACGCGUACACAACCUACCCUUCAGUGGGGAAUAGCCCUGGGAAACUGGGAUUAAUACCCCAUAAUAUUGGAGUCUUCAGAUUCCAAUUAAAGUUCCGACGCUGAAGGAUGGGUGUGCGUCCCAUUAGCUAGAUGGUGAGGUAACGGCUCACCAUGGCAACGAUGGGUAGGGGGCGUGAGAGCGUGAUCCCCCACACGGGUACUGAGACACGGACCCGACUCCUACGGGAGGCAGCAGUAAGGAAUAUUGGACAAUGGGCGAAAGCCUGAUCCAGCCAUCCCGCGUGCAGGAUGAAUGCCCUAUGGGUUGUAAACUGCUUUUAUGAAGGAAGAAACCCUUGGAUUUAUCCGAGGUUGACGGUACUUCAAGAAUAAGCACCGGCUAACUCCG